GUGCCAGCCGCCGCGGUAAUACGUAGGGGGCGAGCGUUGUCCGGAUUUACUGGGUGUAAAGGGCGCGUAGGCGGGGAUGCAAGUCAGAUGUGAAAUCCAUGGGCUCAACCCAUGAACUGCAUUUGAAACUGUGUCUCUUGAGUGUCGGAGAGGUAGAUGGAAUUCCUAGUGUAGCGGUGAAAUGCGUAGAGAUGCGGAGGAACACCAAUGGCGAAGGCAAUCCCCUGGACCUGUACUGACGCUCAUGCACGAAAGCGUGGGGAGCAAACAGGAUUAGAUACCCUGGUAGUCCACGCCCUAAACGAUGUCAACUGGUUGUUGGACGGCUUGCUGUUCAGUAACGAAGCUAACGCGUGAAGUUGACCGCCUGGGGAGUACGGCCGCAAGGCUAAA
rnacentral:rRNA from 1 species